rnacentral:rRNA from 1 species
GACGGAGGUUGCUAGCGUUGUUCGGAAUCACUGGGCGUAAAGGGCGCGUAGGCGGCUUCAGGUGUCGGAUGUGAAAGCCCGGGGCUCAACCCCGGAGGUGCAUCCGAAACUCUGGGGCUGGAGGCCGGAAGAGGAGGGUGGAAUACCCAGUGUAGAGGUGAAAUUCGUAGAUAUUGGGUGGAACACCGGUGGCGAAAGCGGCUCUCUGGUCCGGUCCUGACGCUGAGGCGCGAAAGCGUGGGGAGCAAACAGG